GGAGAGAUGGCUCGGCGGUUAAGAGCAUUUGUUGUUCUUACAGAGGACCUGGGUUCGAUUCCCAGUACCUACA
rnacentral:tRNA from 1 species